UCCCUGGUGGCCUAGUGAUUAAGGAUUCAGCAUUGUCACUGCUGUGGCUCUGGUUCAAUCCAGACCCAGGGAC
rnacentral:tRNA from 1 species